rnacentral:tRNA from 1 species
ACGGGCUUAGUGUAAGGGUUUAGCACAACAGUUUUCGGGACUGUCUGGGGACUCCAACCCCUCAGAGCCGGUUCGAGUCCGGCAGUCCGUGC